rnacentral:lncRNA from 1 species
UGAACCAUAGGUAAAAGCAUACAAGAAACAUUAUGAAAUGAAAAAUUAAUUGAAACAUGUUGUUGUGAAAACUGUAUUUUAAAGGGGUGACAUACCAGUUGCAGGUAAUAGGAUACAAUAGCAAUGAAAUAGUGCACAAAGGGAGAGCAAAGUGUGCAAAGAAUGAGAGCAGCAGUCUGAGUAACGGCAGUAUGAGAAUAGCAGCAGCAAUAUGAGAAUAGCAGCAAUAAGAGACCCAAUGUAGACAAACAAAUAAAACCAAGUAAUGUAAAGUAAUCAACCCAGGCUACUCAAUCUUGG